CUUUCCAAACCCUGACCACAGCAGAAAGGACGGGGAUGAGCACUGACUGGAGCAAUCUGUUGACUGUCCCCUGUUGUAAACCACAGCUGCCUAAUUUUGAGAAACAGGGGCCGAGCCAUCAGAUGUAGGGGAAUGGAAGCUGAUGCCAACGGAAGCCCGGAGGUAAACUAGGGCCCCGGAAAAACGAAGAGGAAACAGAAAUUAUGAGUAAGCAGCGGAAGUUGAAACCUGACACUAAUUAAGCUAGUGCAAGAAGAAGAAGAAAAAGAAGAUGAAUCUUCCACCACACUGGAGAUAACCCAAGAAGUAAGAAAAACUGAUCUCUACCCAAAAAGGACAACAAUGGUGAAAGACUGCAUUUGCAACGGGGGUAAUAUACUCAGAGUUUAAAUUUCCGAAAGGACAAACAAAACAUGGAGAGUCUAAUGAGAUCUUCCAGCUGCUUCUCUCUGCUAAGAUACUACUCCCAAGAUGGAGGCUAAUCACUCUGAACAGCUCUCAGCGGAACGACAGUCAACACCUCCAGGUGACAGUUCAUCAUUACCCAGUCACAAUGGCCUGGAGAAGGAAGAUGGCCAGGAUUCUCCAACCCCAGUCCAACCACCAGAGAAAGAGGCAAGUGUGCACCCCGAUAUCUCUGAAGAGCUGAAUCGACAGCUGGAAGACAUCAUUAACACUUAUGGGUCUGCUGCCAGCACAGCAGGGAAAGAGGGCUCUGCCAGGGCCAGUGAGCAGCCUGAGAAUGCAGAAUCACCUGACAACGAGGAUGGGGACUGUGAGGAAACAACUGAAGAGGCUGGAAGAGAACCCGUUGCUUCUGGAGAGCCACCCACUGUCAAAGAGCCCGUCAGCAAUAAGGAGCAAAAAUUGGAAAAGAAAAUCCUAAAAGGAUUAGGCAAAGAAGCCAACCUGCUAAUGCAAAAUCUGAACAAGUUGCAAACACCGGAAGAAAAGUUUGAUUUUUUAUUCAAGAAGUAUGCUGAAUUGCUGGAUGAACAUCGUACUGAGCAAAAGAAGUUAAAGCUCCUCCAAAAGAAACAGGUACAAAUUCAAAAAGAAAAGGACCAGUUACAAGGUGAACACAGCAGAGCUAUCCUCGCUCGAAGCAAAUUGGAGAGUCUGUGCCGGGAGCUGCAGAGACACAACAAGACUCUGAAGGAAGAGGCGCUUCAGCGGGCACGUGAGGAAGAAGAGAAAAGGAAGGAAAUCACAAGCCAUUUCCAGAGUACCCUCACGGACAUCCAGGGCCAGAUCGAGCAGCAGAGUGAGCGAAAUAUGAAGCUCUGUCAGGAGAACACAGAGCUUGCAGAAAAGCUGAAAAGCAUCAUCGAUCAGUAUGAGCUCAGAGAGGAGCAUCUGGACAAAAUAUUUAAACACAGAGAACUGCAGCAGAAGCUGGUGGAUGCAAAGCUUGAGCAGGCCCAAGAAAUGAUGAAGGAAGCGGAGGAGCGACACAAACGAGAAAAGGAAUAUUUGCUGAACCAGGCAGCAGAGUGGAAACUUCAGGCGAAAGUGCUGAAGGAGCAAGAGACAGUCCUGCAGGCUCAGCUCACUCUCUACUCAGGAAGGUUUGAAGAAUUCCAGAGCACACUAACUAAAAGCAACGAGGUGUUUGCCACGUUCAAACAGGAAAUGGACAAAACAACUAAGAAAAUGAAGAAGCUGGAAAAGGACACAGCCACAUGGAAAGCCCGAUUUGAGAACUGUAACAAAGCUCUGUUGGACAUGAUUGAAGAGCCCUCCUGACUGCUCCAAGAAUUUCAUCGAACAAGACUCAAAGAGGCCCAGCUGCUCUGCGUUUUGAUUCUUCUCCCUCUCUCAGUCCACACUGACCUGGGAGGGGCUUCUCAAACACCACAUUUCCUAGCGUGCUGUGAGAAGAGGACUGUGAGCUAAGAAGGGAGAAAAGGGUGCAUAGUAUGAGAAGACUUAAGAGAUGGGUAGAGAAAAACUAAAAAGCAUCCAGAGAGCCAAAUAAAAAUACAGACAAACCAACCAACCAAGCACUGACGAGCCAGUAAAGAGGGAACUGUCGGGGAAUCAGGGCUGAGAGAAUCUCUGAUACAGCAGCGGAAAUAGGCACUCCCUCCUCAUCAACAAACACCUGACCUGGGUAGACCCUCUGCUUACCAAGAUCCAGUCCACCUUUUGACAUCAGCAUUCAUGCUGCCUCUUUUUACGAACCAAGCCAAAGUGGUCCCUUCCUCUGGAAAUUAUAGGAUACUUAAUGUACAUCAUAUCCAGGUAUGAUACUAGAACUUUAAGCCUGGUAAGUUAGUUACAUUUUAUAAAAGCAUCUUAUCCUAAGAUUAUAAAUUGAUGACAAGCAAGAACUGAUAGUACCCAGCAUGUGUGAUAUCCGUAAGUUUGAUGAACUGAUGAAUGGAUUACAUGACAAUAAUCUGUCCAUCAUGGAUAGAAAAAGAACACUACUAUUCUCAUAUCUGCUGUACCCAUAUUCAUCUUCAUAAAAAAUGUUUCAAGUUUUACAAUGGAGAAAUAAAGGUGUUUCCAUCCACUUCCCUCUAAAAUUACCCCCAAACAGGAUAAAAAAACAAAAACACAAACUCCAUCUUCCAUGAAACAAUGAGGUUAUUUCAACCCUGAAUUAAACUAUAUGAAGUCAGAAAGUAGACUGAGGGAUAGUAAAUGGUUAAGCUCAGAAACUGGACAAGCACCGGGGAGUUUGUAGGGAGCUCGCAGGGAGCAAUAAGUUACAAACAACCAUAAAUUCUAUGCAGCACUUUCCAUCAAAAAGCAGAGUAUUUCAGCAUCAUCUGAACCUGGGCUAGACUUAGGACUUAUACUGAUGAACAAAAUGUGACAGGAGUGAUGUUACUCAGUUCCAAGCUUAAGCCUCUAGAGACAGACUCUGCAGCUUCCACUUACAUCUCUUGAAUGCCAUCCUGAGAGCAACAUGUGAAAAAGUCCAAGCUAGCCUACUGGAAGAUGAAAGACUACAUGGAACACAGACAAGCCAUUCCGGCUGAGGCCCCCUAAGCCAACCUAACAAUCCACCCACAGAAUUGUGAGAAGUCAUUAAAUUAUCCUUUUAAACCACUAAGUUUUGGAAUGCUCUGCUUUAUAACAAAUGCUACAAGAUAAAGGGAGUUAGGUACAAUUCUCAAAAUGAAAGAGACUACUCUCUGCAAUUUCAGCUCCCUUUCCUUGCUCACAAAGGUAGCACAAGAAAUUACAUACAUGAAACAAGAAGAGAAUGCUAUUAAAAAGAGCUCCUGGAAAUUAAAAAUGUAAGAACAGAAAAUUUGUAACUCCGUAAAAACACCAAAAUAAAAAGUCAAGGAAAUUUUCCAUAAAGCAGAAUAAAGAGAUGAAUAGGGCCAUGUAUAUAUUUAUUAUAUAUCCUUUAUUAUAUAUAAAAUAAAGGAGUUCUCCACUCCAACAAAAAAAAUAAUCUAAGGGGUCUAAUAUCUGAUUAAUGAGAGUUUCACAGAAUUUUUUAAAAGUGAAAAUAGGGUAGCGGAAAUUGUCAAAGAAAUAAUACAAAAACAAAUUUCUCCAAAUGGAAGAUGGUAAGUUUAUAGAGCCAAAGGGCCAAGAGAGUACAGAAAGCACGACAAAUAGAGGAAACUGUGUAAAAGACCCACAUAUGGUGAAAUUUCAGAACAUUAGGGAUAUAUGAAGAAAAUCUUAAAACCUUCAUGGAGGGGUGGAGAUGGAGGCAAAGACAGGAAUAAGAGUAACAUCAGACCUCUCAAAAUAGUGACAUUGUAAGAUGGGAGACAGUAAAGAAAUGUCUUCAAAAUUCCAAGGGGAAAAUAUGUAUAACUUAGAAGACUACAGCCAGCUAAAUAGCAAAGAAGAGUGAAGAUUAAAUCAGGAUAUUCUCAGACGUUGAAAGUCUCAAAUCAUCUAUUCCCAUGCUCCCUUUCUCAAAAAGCUCCUGGGGGAUGUUUCCUAAAAGCUGAGAGAAUAAACCGAGAAAAAAAUAAAAUAUUGAGAUCUAGGAAACAAGAUUUUUAAAAAUAGGACAGAAAUGAAGGCAUUCCUAGAAGGACAGCUAUGUGGUACACCAGGUCCUGAGUGCACCAGGACAGGUAGAAGCAGGAGGGUAAGAGUCUCCACGAGGGGCAUUUUCAGGGGCAAAAAUUUUUUUUCCAAAAAAAAUCUGACAGGUAUGUGGAAAUGUCUUUGAAAGAUGGUUUGUAAAGCUGCUGGAGAGUGAGAACUAGCCAAAGUUAAAAAAAAAAAAAAAAACUAUGCAAAUCAAAAUAAUCAAUUAACCCUAAUAAAAACAAAAGGAGUCCUAGACUAUAUGGUACUAUAUAAUAAGAUAAAACCCUAUACUUCUUGGCUCAAUAUUAAAUAUAUAUAUUCACAUUAGUAAACAUUAAGGAUUUAACUAAUAAUUGUGGUAUCUUAUCCUGAGAGGAAGGAGGAGGGGGAUGCACAGUCAUCCACCUUCAAAGCCAGUCAAUAAACAGAUAAUAUGUAAAGCUGGAGAAUGAAGACAGCAGUAUUUACAAUCACGAUGUCAAAAACUUGAAGCAUCAGCUAAGAUUUGAAAAUGUUUGUCUGGGUACUGACACAGCAGGGUUGGUGGGAAGGAGACAGGUGGGGAUAUAUCAUUUUCACAACAAGCUUUUUAGCACACAUUUAAAGUGUAAACAUGUUAUAUGUGAUGUGUCUCAUCUUUAUGGAAGUUCAGUAGUUGUACAUGAACUGACAGAUUUCUUAUACUAACCAACCUCGUGUCAUUCAAUUUAUGGCUGAAAUGUACCAAAUCCUUAUAUGCCAUCCACAGGAAUAAUAAGCUUCCCCAUCGCCCCUCCUUCCACCACCACCACCGGGCUAAUGUCUGAGCUUUCAAUAAUCCUGUUUACCUUUUGCUGCUAUCAACACACUCUCAUCUUUCAUAAACUUCAAAAUUAAUUCAACUAAUCUAAAAAUACCUUGGCCCUUUUCUGACCACUGCUUUUCCUCACUGUUAUGUUUAUAAGGAUCUAAGAGGAUACACAGCUAGAUGGGCCCAUUAAACAGGUUUACAGUAAGUGACAAAUAUGCAACAACUCCACUAAUUUCCUUCCCCAUUAUGCAAAACCAUACACCGGCAAUCCUUUCUUCAAAUUACAGAACACACAAAAUUAUCCGCUAGGACAACUGUACUUGGUACUGUGACAUCAGAGUAAAAAAUCACCGCGUCACUGGGCGAAGCUGAAAUAUUCAAAUGUUACCUAGCACCUGACUAGAACAAAAAAACAACACUGGUGAAAACUACACCAAAAUAGAGCAAUCUGUCUUGUUUGUUGUUUGGUUUUUAACAAACAGAAAGCAGGCAAGGUGAAUUAACACCUAUACCUUGAAGGUGACAAGGAACAUCAUAUUCGAUCUCAUCAUGUCUCGACGGGCUUAGGAACAAAGUUCCAUCCACCAGUGGGAACUGUUCGAACACCGGGAGCGCCCGGUGGCACAGGGCACAGUUUACCACGUUUCUGUGGCUGGCACUGAGCGCGGCCAGAAUGAACUUCCGCAAGUCUUCCCCCUGGCCCACUUGGGCAUCGUCUUCCAUGCGCACGU